UCGCCUGUUUAUCAAAAACAUUGCCUCUUGCAAUCUAUAAAAGGUACAUCCUGCCCAGUGAAUCUUCAACGGCCGCGGUAUCCUGACCGUGCAAAGGUAGCAUAAUCAUUUGCCUAUUAAUUGUAGGCUAGUAUGAACGGAUAAACGUGGACAAACCUGUCUCUAUUAAGUUCAUAAAAAUUAAUAUUCGAGUGAAGAAGCUCGAAUUCUCUCGCAGGACAAGAAGACCCUAUAGAGCUUUACCUAAAAAGCACAAACCUGCUGCUUAACGGUUCGGUUGGGGCGACCAAGGAAUACUAAACAUCCUUAAAAAAACGAGCUACUACUCCCCACAUAGAUCCUAACUAUAGAUCCAAGAAUCUAGCUACCUUAGGGAUAACAGGCUAAUUCUCCUAGAGAGCCCUUAUCAACAGGAGAGAUUGGCACCUCGAUGUUGGCUUAGGACUUCUUCAUGAUGUAGCAGUCAUGAUCAGAUGGUUUGUUCAACCAUUAAUAUCCUACGUGAUCUGAGUUCAACCGGA
rnacentral:rRNA from 1 species